UUCCAUCCAUCUCACCCCCCAAAUCUGAACCCAAAAUUAAUUUGUGCUCACUUCUCAACCGUUGGAUCUCAUCUCUUGCCCACCUUAUAUAUAACACACUUCCCCCAAAACACAAAAACCUAACCCUAAUCUCUCACACUGUGUGCUGCCUUUAUUCGUGUGCAAGCACUUGAUGCAGUCCCACAAAGAGGAUUUAUAUUUGAGGUGGUCAAUGGAGAUGAGAAGAUUUCAGAUUGGCAAGGGUGUAUGGCUAGAUUGAUGGAGAAAGCUGGACAGCAGCUUCAAUAAUAACACCCAAACCAUGCUAAAAAAUGUGCCAAUCAUUUAUGUUUACUUGUUUUUCUUUGUUGUUGGUGAUGUUCUCAUGAAAUGUUUUGCAAGAGAAAAGGGCAUUACAAGUGAGUUUGUUUUACACAUGAAUUGCAUAACCAUUAACCAGUAAUGAUUCAGAAAACAUUAGUGUUAGUGCUAAAUUUCUGAUCUCAAGCAGUUGCCAAAGCCCGACACAGAUAAUCUAGUAGGCUACAUCAACUUUUUUCCACUCCUGUUUUGAUAUGUCAUGCAUAAUCGUCUUUUAAUGUCUCUAUUAGCGGCAUAUGACAUCUUAGAAAUGUUAUUGCAAGAUGUUUUCUCAUGUAAUUAAGGCAUAUGUAGCGUGGAGAAUUCACAGAAGGUGUAUUGGGUCACAUUAGUGUAUGAUUUUCUUCUUCUUCUAUUAGUGUGGAGAUUUCAACAGUAGUUUUUUUU